GUAUUUUAACUGUGCUAAGGUAGCAUAAUCAUUUGUCUUUUAAUUGAGGGCUGGAAUGAAGGGUUGGACGAGGUACUAGCUUUCUUUAAUUUAAUUUGAAGAAUUUAAUUUUUAAGUUAAAAAGCUUAAAUUUAUUUAUGGGACGAGAAGACCCUAUAGAUCUUUAUAGUUUUAUAUUUUAGUAAUUUGGGGAUUUAUAUAUUUUAAGUAACUGAACUAUUUUGUUGGGGUGACUGUAGAAUUUAAAUAACUUCUAUUUUUUAUUUUCAUUAAUUAAUGUUUUUGUGAUCCAUAAUUUAUGAUUAGAAGAUUAAGUUACCUUAGGGAUAACAGCGUAAUUUCCUCGGAGAGUUCAUAUUGAUGAGGGAGUUUGCGACCUCGAUGUUGGAUUAAAAUAAGUCAU
rnacentral:rRNA from 1 species